rnacentral:piRNA from 1 species
UGCAAAAGCAAAGAGCGUUCUUCAGCUGU